UCAUUUUCCUUUGUAUGUUUCUCUUUGAUUUCCUCCAGGUGUCACCACUUCAUCCACGACAUCAUCCACAAUUGCUGAGAUGCCGUCCAUGAUCGCAGAGACAUGGUCCAUGAUUGGAAAAACAUUGACGAUGAUGAAGGAGACAUUGUCCAUGAUUAAAGAUAUUGUCCACGAUCAGAGACGUUAUUCCUGAUCACAGAGAGUCUUCAUACAACAAAGAAGUUCUUUGAGACCUGGACAGAGGCCUCCAGGCGUCACCACUUUGUCCACAACAUCGUCCACGAUCGCAGAGACUUCGUCCAUGAUCGGAGAGACAUUGUUGAGGAUGAGGGAGACAUCGUCCAUGAUCAGAGACAUUGUCCAUGAUCGCAGAGACCUUGUCAAAGAUGAGAGAGACGUUGUCCGUGAUCAGAGACAUUGUCCCAUGCUUCGUAGAGACCUUGCGAUAGAAUCGGCGGAGACGGGGGUCACCGAUUUGACGGCAUUGCCCGCGAUCAUGGAGACAUUGUCGAUGAUCACAGAGGCACCGUCUAUGAUCUCAGAGACAUCGUCCACAAUCACAAAAACAUUGUCCAUGAUCACAGAGACUUUGUCCAUAAUCUCAGAGACAUUGUCCGCGAUCACAGAGACGUAGUCCAUGAUCACAGAGAGCCUUCGUACAAUGAAGAAGUUCUUUGAGACCAGGACAGAGGCCUCCAGGCAUCACCACUUUGUCCACAACAUCGUCCACGAUCGCAGAGACUUCGUCCAUGAUCGGAGAGACAUUGUUGAGGAUGAGGGAGACAUCGUCCAUGAUCAGAGACAUUGUCCAUGAUCGCAGAGACCUUGUCAAAGAUGAGAGAGACGUUGUCCGUGAUCAGAGACAUUGUCCCAUGCUUCGUAGAGACCUUGCGAUAGAAUCGGCGGAGACGGGGGUCACCGAUUUGACGGCAUUGCCCGCGAUCAUGGAGACAUUGUUGAUGAUCACAGAGGCACCGUCUAUGAUCUCAGAGACAUCGUCCACAAUCACAAAAACAUUGUCCAUGAUCACAGAGACUUUGUCCAUAAUCUCAGAGACAUUGUCCGCGAUCACAGAGACGUAGUCCAUGAUCACAGAGAGUCUUCGUACAAUGAAGAAGUUCUUUGAGACCAGGACAGAGGCCUCCAGGUGACACCACUUUGUCCGCAACAUCGUCCACGAUCGCAGAGACUUCGUCCAUGAUCGGAGAGACAUUGUUGAGGAUGAGGGAGACAUCGUCCACGAUCAGAGACAUUGUCCAUGAUUGCAGAGACCUUGUCAAAGAUGAGAGAGACGUUGUCCGUGAUCAGAGACAUUGUCCCAUGCUUCGUAGAGACCUUGCGAUAGAAUCGGCGGAGACGGGGGUCACCGAUUUGACGGCACUGCCCGCGAUCAUGGAGACAUUGUCGAUGAUCACAGAGGCACCGUCUAUGAUCUCAGAGACAUCGUCCACGAUCACUAAGUCAUUGUCCAUGAUCGCAGAGACUUUGUCCAUAAUCUCAGAGACAUUGUCCGCGAUCACAGAGUCUUUGUACCAGGACUGAGGCCUCCAGGUAAUUCACAAACAGCUUUACAUCAACUGUCCAAUAUGUUCAAUAUUCAGUA